rnacentral:rRNA from 1 species
CAUGCUUAGUACGGCGAGUGAAGCGGCAAAAGCUCAAAUUUGAAAUCGGCCAUCAGGUCGAGUUGUAAUUUGUAGAUUGUACCUUGAGAGCGGAUCAAAGUCUGUUGGAACACAGCGCCUUAGAGGGUGACAGCCCCGUAGGAUCUAUUUUCAUUGUAAGGUACUUUCGAAGAGUCGAGUUGUUUGGGAAUGCAGCUCUAAGUGGGAGGUAAAUUCCUUCUAAAGCUAAAUAUUGACGAGAGACCGAUAGCGAACAAGUACUGUGAAGGAAAGAUGAAAAGCACUUUGAAAAGAGAGUGAAAAAGUACGUGAAAUUGUUAAAAGGGAAGGGUAUUGAAUCAGACGUGGUGCUUGUUGUUCAGCCAUGCUUCGGGAUGGUGUACUCAGCAGUACUAGGCCAAGGUGGGGUGUUUGGGAGUGAAAAAGGAAUAGGAAUGUGGCUCCUCGGAGUGUUAUAACCUGUUUUCAUAGCUCCUCAGGCGCCUCAGGACUGCGCUUCGGCAAGGACUUUGGCAUAAUGAUUCUAUACCGCCCGUCUUGAA